AUUGAACGCUGGCGGCAUGCCUUACACAUGCAAGUCGAACGGUAACAGGUCUUCGGAUGCUGACGAGUGGCGAACGGGUGAGUAAUACAUCGGAACGUGCCCGAUCGUGGGGGAUAACGAAGCGAAAGCUUUGCUAAUACCGCAUAAGAUCUACGGAUGAAAGCGGGGGACCGCAAGGCCUUGCGCGAACGGAGCGGCCGAUGGCAGAUUAGGUAGUUGGUGGGAUAAAAGCUUACCAAGCCGGCGAACUGUAGCUGGUCUGAGAGGACGACCAGCCACACUGGGACUGAGACACGGCCCAGACUCCUACGGGAGGCAGCAGUGGGGAAUUUUGGACAAUGGGCGAAAGCCUGAUCCAGCCAUGCCGCGUGCAGGAUGAAGGCCUUCGGGUUGUAAACUGCUUUUGUACGGAACGAAAAGACUCUGGUUAAUACCUGGGGUCCAUGACGGUACCGUAAGAAUAAGCACCGGCUAACUACGUGCCAGCCGCCGCGGUAA
rnacentral:rRNA from 1 species